rnacentral:lncRNA from 1 species
ACAAGUGUGAUUUGUACAUAUACAUAUACAUUAAUUGAUUGUAGCUUUGAAUGACAGAUAAAGAGUCAAAUGAAAGAAUAGCAGUUUACGUAAUUAGAGACCGGUAGGUUUCUUGCUGUGCUGUGAGAGACCAUUACGAAACACUUAUCCUUACAAAACUUAAAGAGGAGGAUCGGCCCUGAUAAUUCAUUUUUCUAGAUACCUGCAUUUCGAGACCGAAACUAUCUCCUGGCAACGUCUUGCUGGUGGUUGAAGUGGUGAAGACAGACUAGACCAGAAAGUUAGCAAUGGGACCUGGUGGACCGGGAGGAGGGCCUGGUGGACCGGGAGGAGGGCCUGGAGGACCUGGCGGAUGGGGGGGAGGUCCAGGAGGACCUGGUGGAUGGGGAGGAGGUCCAGGAGGACCCGGUGGAUGGGGAGGACCAGGUGGAUGGGGCGGAGGUCCAGGAGGACCUGGGGGAUGGGGAGGAGGUCCAGGGGGACCUGGCUGGGGUCCGGGGCCUGGAGGUCCCUGGGGCCCUGGAUUUGGAGGUGGGUUCUUUGGUGGAUUUGCUGAUGGCUUGUGCAACAUGAUAUCUUCUUUGUAAGCAAUCAUCUUUUCUCAAUUCUCCUCCAAUGUCUAGUUAACUACGCUUCGAUUUUUAUCUUACUCACUUCUUAACCUUAAUUGUUUUCGAUUGCAG